GUAGGUGAACCUGCGGAAGGAUCAUUAACACGUUAUCCACGUUAUUCAUCAACCACGCGAACUUAUCAGUUUUUGGGGUUUUUUAAGAGGGAGGAUGACUUCUUUUUCUCCUAGAGAAAAAAGUGAACUUCCUUCUUUCCCACUAACUGUUGUGUUUUGUCAUUUUUUGACAAACCUUAAUCACCCCUUUUUUAUAAUUCUUUUUCUUUUGCAAAAAAGAAAAACCAAUUAUAAAAUGUGAUUUUUUCUU
rnacentral:misc_RNA from 1 species